rnacentral:rRNA from 1 species
GCUCAUUCUUCAGCCGUAGAGAGACUUUUGAAUUGUGAGGUACCAUUACGAGCUCAAUAUAUAAGAGUGUUAUUCUGUGAAAUAACUCAAAUUUCAAAUCAUUCACUUGCUUCAACUACUCAUGCUAUGGAUGUGGGAGCAUCAACUCCGUUCCUUUGGGCUUUUGAGGAGCGGGAGAAAUUGUUGGAAUUCUAUGAAAGAGUCCCGGGAGCCAGGAUGCAUGCCAGUUUCAUACGACCUGGUGGAGUGGCACAAGAUCUGCCUCUUGGCUUAUGUCGAGAUAUUGAUUCCUCCACACAACAAUUUGCUUCUCGUAUCGACGAAUUAGAAGAGAUGUCAACCGGCAACCGUAUCUGGAAACAACGAUUAGUGGAUAUUGGUACUGUCACUGCACAGCAAGCAAAGGAUUGGGGAUUCAGUGGUGUAAUGUUAAGAGGUCGUGCGACAUGA